UCAAUUGGUAGAUUCUCAGCCUUCCAAGCUGAUAGUUACGAGUUCGAAUCUCGUUAUC
rnacentral:tRNA from 14 species